AUUGAACGCUGGCGGCAUGCCUUACACAUGCAAGUCGAACGGUAACAGGUCUUCGGAUGCUGACGAGUGGCGAACGGGUGAGUAAUACAUCGGAACGUGCCUAGUAGUGGGGGAUAACUACUCGAAAGAGUGGCUAAUACCGCAUGAGAUCUACGGAUGAAAGCAGGGGAUCGCAAGACCUUGUGCUACUAGAGCGGCCGAUGGCAGAUUAGGUAGUUGGUGGGAUAAAAGCUUACCAAGCCGACGAUCUGUAGCUGGUCUGAGAGGACGAUCAGCCACACUGGGACUGAGACACGGCCCAGACUCCUACGGGAGGCAGCAGUGGGGAAUUUUGGACAAUGGGCGCAGGCCUGAUCCAGCAAUGCCGCGUGCAGGAUGAAGGCCUUCGGGUUGUAAACUGCUUUUGUACGGAACGAAAAGCCCUGGGUUAAUACCAUGGGGUCAUGACGGUACCGUAAGAAUAAGCACCGGCUAACUACGUGCCAGCCGCCGCCGUAA
rnacentral:rRNA from 1 species